GUUUAGAAUUUUUUUGGGACAUUAGGCCAAAUUUAAAUAAUAGUGCAGUCACAUGGAAUGAAUUCACGCAAGGAAGUGUUUCUACAAUGUUAAGGUUGUCUUUACCUCGAAAGUGGACAAUAUUUCAUCUUUAUUUUCCAACCUAUUUUACCAUAGAGAAAUGCAGAAGACAUGCUUACCUAUUAAACUAGAAAAUUAUACAGCUGCAAAUUUGACAUAUACAUGUUCUCCGGUUUCUAGAAAAUUUUUCAUAUUUAGAAAUUUUAAUAUAAGGCUUUAAAAUUUAUGAAGCAAUUUCCCAAAUUCUAUUUAAAAUUUAAAAAUGGAAACCCAAUUUUCCAAAACAAGUUUCUUUUUUUUACCGAUAAUUAAUUUUCUAGCAAUGUUCCAUGCAUGAGAUUUUUU
rnacentral:misc_RNA from 1 species